GGAGUUAGCCGGUGCUUCUUCUGUGAGUGAUGUCCUUCCUGCCGGCUAUUAACCCGCAGGCCUUCUUCCUCACUGAAAGUGCUUUACAACCCGAAGGCCUUCUUCACACACGCGGCAUGGCUGGAUCAGGGUUGCCCCCAUUGUCCAAUAUUCCCCACUGCUGCCUCCCGUAGGAGUCUGGGCCGUGUCUCAGUCCCAGUGUGGCUGAUCAUCCUCUCAGACCAGCUACGGAUCGUCGCCUUGGUGAGCCGUUACCUCACCAACCAGCUAAUCCGACAUAGGCUCAUCCGAUAGCGCGAGGCCCGAAGGUCCCCCGCUUUCCCCCGUAGGGCGUAUGCGGUAUUAGCCUGGGUUUCCCCAGGGUUAUCCCCCACUACCGGGCAGAUUCCUAUUCAUUACUCACCCGUCCGCCGCUCGCCACCAGGGAGCAAGCUCCCCGUGCUGCCGCUCGACUUGCAUGUGUUAGGCCUGCCGCCAGCGUUCAAUCUGAGCCAUGAUCAAACUCUGA
rnacentral:rRNA from 1 species